rnacentral:pre_miRNA from 9 species
UCUCGAUAGCGUAAAAGUUAACUCAAAUUUGUAUGGAGUUGGAACGGCUGCCUACGUUUGCCGCCAGGGGCGCUGUUCCAAUUGCGUACAAAUUUAAAUUUCCUAACUCAUACGCUAUCGA